rnacentral:rRNA from 1 species
UACGGGGGGGGCAAGCGUUGUUCGGAAUUACUGGGCGUAAAGGGUUCGUAGGUGGCUUGCUAAGUCGGAUGUGAAAUCUCCAGGCUCAACCUGGAAACUGCAUUGGAAACUACCUUGCUAGAGGGUUUGAGGGGGGACUGGAAUUCUCGGUGUAGCAGUGAAAUGCGUAGAUAUCGAGAGGAACACCAGUGGCGAAGGCGAGUCCCUGGAAAACACCUGACACUGAGGCACGAAAGCUAGGGGAGCAAACAGG